ncrna:unclassified sequences L13-Bacteroidia ribosomal protein leader
ACAGGCAACAAAAAGCCUGUUAAUCCCACGUGUUAAUAGCUGUAUCUAUUAAAGAAUUUGGCCUGAUGCAGUGGUUAGUGAAUC